CAGGGUACUGCAGAGUGCGCUGAUUGCUUUGGUUUGUUGGUUGUUUUAUGGAGUCAAGCUUCCUGCUUACUUUUGCCCACAUUCCUGUUUUCACCUAGGGAUCAAUCUAGGCUACAGAAACUCUGCCCGCAGAGACUCUCCCCGAUAAGGCUCAUCCGCAGUGCUGAUGACGACAGUGGUGUGUUUUACUACAAUGAAGAAAGCAAGAGAAAAGAAAAUGUUAAGAACA